rnacentral:lncRNA from 1 species
UUUGUCCUAAAGCCCAACCAACUAUUGGACUAGUAUCAACUAUAAGUAUCACCAAUUUGCCAUCCUCAUAACUUAUCCUUCGCAAUACAGGUAGAGAAGCAAGUAAUUACUUUAGCUUUUGAAUUAUUUCUGUAUGUUUUUCUUCCCAUUUAAAUUUCUUCCCUUUUUGUAGCAAACUAUAAAGAGGAUCAGCUAUAUG